CAGCCGCCGCGGGAAUACGUAGGUGGCAAGCGUUGUCCGGAAUUAUUGGGCGUAAAGGGCUCGCAGGCGGUUUCUUAAGUCUGAUGUGAAAGCCCCCGGCUCAACCGGGGAGGGUCAUUGGAAACUGGGAAACUUGAGUGCAGAAGAGGAGAGUGGAAUUCCACGUGUAGCGGUGAGAUGCGUAGAGAUGUGGAGGGACACCAGUGGCGAAGGCGACUCUCUGGUCUGUAACUGACGCUGAGGAGCGAAAGCGUGGGGAGCGAACAGGAUUAGAGACCCCAGUAGUCCCUGUCUCUUAUAC
rnacentral:rRNA from 1 species